UGUUCUCUACCUUAAUAAAAUGCUGUAGGUCCUGUUUACUCCCUGUGGUCUGUUCUCUACCUUAAUAAAAUGCUGUAGGUCCUGCUUACCUCUGUGUCUGUUCUCUACCUUAAUAAAAUGCUGUAGGUCCUGCUUACCUCUGUGUCUGUUCUCUACCUUAAUAAAAUGCUGUAGGUCCUGCUUACCUCUGUGUCUGUUCUCUACCUUAAUAAAAUGCUGUAGGUCCUGCUUACUCCCUGUGUCUGUUCUCUACCUUAAUAAAAUGCUGUAGGUCCUGCUUACCUCUGUGUCUGUUCUCUACCUUAAUAAAAUGCUGUAGGUCCUGCUUACCUCUGUGUCUGUUCUCUACCUUAAUAAAAUGCUGUA